CACGGGAAAUCUUACCGGGUCCGGACAUACCGAGGAUUGACAGACUGUUAACUGCAACACAUGCUGCUAAGUUUUAAACUUAAUAGCUCUUUCAUGAUUAUAUGAUAGGUGGUGCAUGGCCGUUCUUAGUUCGUGGAGUGAUCUGUCUGCUUAAUUGCGUUUCAAAAUCUAAACCUGAGCGACAAGGUGCUGCUAUCGAAACUGUCUUUGAGUGUGAACUAUAAGUCUUUUGACUUAUGACCAUCACUCUAGACGUUUAUGUUUUGGUGUUGGCCCUUGAUGCUCAUUUGAACGCAACGGACGUGAUUGCAACCCCUUGUUGAGAUUUAUCCGAUCUCUACGUUCACUGAACCACACUCUUUAGCGAGAGCAGUGGGGAUGUGGAUAAACUCGGGGGACUGCUGACUAUAAACUUUUCUCAAACCAGAGGAAGGUUGCGGCAAUAACAGGUCUGUGAUGCA
rnacentral:rRNA from 1 species